CAUCUUUUAUCGCUUAAUUCAUGAUGAUGAAGCGGGGGAAACCAAUCGCGGCCUUAUGGGCUGCAUGGGGUGAAUCCUAAUAUUUAGGAGGGGUGACUCUUUCCACCCUAAUCCGACAGCUAACCUCGUAGGCGUUUGAAAAGAGGAGAU
rfam:Bacillus smithii strain DSM 4216, complete genome.